AGAAUAUGAAACUCUCUGAUGAGGCAAGUCUCUUUAUGCAUCUUUAAACUAAUUUUUUUUUUGUUGUUUUUUUAUCUCCAAAGGACUUGAAUUGUUUAGACAAGCGUAUUCAGGUUGAUGUUUCUAUUGAAGCAUUGCCAUUGAAAAGAUGAAACCUAAUGGUUCCAAGCAUUUGUUGGAUGUGGCUUUUACAGAAUUCACCACCUAGCCAUGCUCGAGUCAUGGGCUAGUGUUUCAACAUUCAUGCCCUACCCUUUUCUGUUGUGACUUUCUUUAUUGGCCAAUUGACAAAAAUGGUCUCCUGUUCUGUAGGUUGAUCUGGAAAGGAUUGCA
rnacentral:misc_RNA from 1 species